rnacentral:rRNA from 1 species
UACAUGGGGUGCAAACGUUGCUCGGAAUUAUUGGGCGUAAAGCGCACGUAGGCGGUUUGUUAAGUCGGAUGUGAAAUCCCUCGGCUCAACUGAGGAAGUGCAUCCGAAACUGGCAAGCUUGAGUACGAAAGAGGAUCGCGGAAUUCCCGGUGUAGAGGUGAAAUUCGUAGAUAUCGGGAGGAACACCAAUUGCGAAGGCAGCUCGCUGGGACGUUACUGACGCUGAGACGCGAAAGCGUGGGAGCAAACAGG